rnacentral:sRNA from 1 species
CUGGACAAAAUUUGCAAUGGAUAGAUUGAUAAUACAUCUUACUCCUAUAU